AUACGUAGGGUGCAAGCGUUAUCCGGAUGUAUUGGGUUUAAAGGGUUCGUAGGCGGACAAGUCAGUCAGUGGUGAAAGCCUGUGGCUCAACCAUAGAACUGCCAUUGAUACUGCUUGCCUUGAGUACACUUGAAGUGGGCGGAAUGAGUUAUGUAGCGGUGAAAUGCAUAGAUAUAACUUAGAACACCGAUUGCGAAGGCAGCUCACUAAAUUGUAACUGACGCUGAGGAACGAAAGCGUGGGGAGCGAACAGGAUUAGAAACCCUAGUAGUCC
rnacentral:rRNA from 1 species